CGCCUCCCAGGCAGCCUAUUUCAAGGUGCAAGCUCCACCUUCCGGGCGGCCUAUUUCAAGGUGCAAGCCCCGCCUCCCGGGCGGCCUAUUUCAAGGUGCAAGCCCCGCCUCCCAGCCCUAUUUCAAGGUGCAAGCCCCGCCUCCCAGGCAGCCUAUUUCAAGGUGCAAGCCCCGCCUCCCGGACGGCCUAUAUCAAGGCGCAAGCCCCGCCUCCUGGACGGCCUAUUUAAAGGCGCAAGCCCCGCCUCCCAGGCAGCCUAUUUCAAGGUGCAAGCCCCGCCUCCCGGACGGCCUAUUUCAAGGCGCAAGCCCCGCCUCCAGGGCGGCCUAUUUCAAGGCGCAAGCCCCGCCGCCCGGGUGGCCUAUUUCAGGGCGCAAGCUCCGCCUCCUAGCCCUAUUUCAAGGUGCACCCUCUGCCUCCUGGGCGGCCUAUUUCAAGGUGCAAGCUCCUCCUCCUAGCCCUAUUUCAAGGUGCACCCUCUGCCUCCUGGGCGGCCUAUUUCAAGGUGCACCCUCUGCCUCCUGGGCGGCCUAUUUCAAGGUGCUCGCUGCACAGAUGGGAGUGGUUUUCUGCAGUGGUCACGGAUGAACUCAAUAACACCCAAGUCACACGCUGCUCCACCCUUACAGUGGCCUCGUAUCACAAAAGAACGUGUAGGUUGCUUUGUGCUUUAAGAGAAC
rnacentral:lncRNA from 1 species